UAUGUCACUUUCUAUGGGGGAGGAGAUCUGCGUCAGUGCAGUGCAGAAGCAUUUUAAGGAGCUCUGCUGCACGGUGGGCUCCGGACACUUUAUGCCAACCUUUUCUGAAGCAUGAAUAACCUGUUGAGAAACUCAGCAAUCGCCUGUUGUCUUUGUUUUUUGGACAAGCUUAUGUCAGAUGAAAAGAAAAGCUCGCUUGCAAUACUCAUUUUGUGAAUAAGAACAAUCGUUUACGUGGACAUAGCCGGACAGUAGAAACUGAUAUUUUUUUUUUUUGGAAAACAUCAGAGAAAGUCUGCGCGGAAACACUUUGGAUCUGCGGACAUUUUGGACUCGUUCAAUGAGAACCAGGGUAAUCCUGGCUUGUCUUUAAAAGCAUGGAAUCGGUCAGAUAUCUGUUUCCACUUAUUAUUUUGAGCCUCAUUAACCCGUCAGAGGAACGCUUGUUUGACUACUUCAACCUUCAG